GCCAGCAUGGUGUAGUGGUUUGAAGAUUUUACUAGGACUCUGAAGACCAGGGUUCGAUUCCCAGUUCAGCUA